CCUUCUGACACACCGCCCGUCACACCAUGGGAGUUUGUGCACCAGAAGCAGGUAGCUAACUCGGGAGGGCGCUGCACGGUGUGGCCGAUGACUGGGGUGAAGUCGUAACAAAGGUAGCCGUAUCGGAAGGUGCGGCUGGAUCACCUCCUUUUGAGCAUGACGUCAUCGUCCUGUCGGGCGUCCUCACAAAUUACCUGCAUUCAGAGAUGCGUAUCGGCACAGGCCGGUAUGCGAAAGUCCCAUCAUGGGGCCUUAGCUCAGCUGGGAGAGCACCUGCUUUGCAAGCAGGGGGUCGUCGGUUCGAUCCCGACAGGCUCCACCAUUUGAGUGAAACGACUUUGGGUCUGUAGCUCAGGUGGUUAGAGCGCACCCCUGAUAAGGGUGAGGUCGGUGGUUCGAGUCCUCCCAGACCCACCACUCUGAAUGUAGUGCACACUUAAGAAUUUAUAUGGAUCAGCGUUGAGGCUGAGACAUGUUCUUUUAUAACUUGUGACGUAGCGAGCGUUUGAGAUAUCUAUCUAAACGUGUCGUUGAGGCUAAGGCGGGGACUUCGAGUCCCUAAAUAAUUGAGUCGUAUGUUCGCGUUGGUGGCUUUGUACCCCACACAACACGGCAGAUAGCUCCGAGGCAACUUGGGGUUAUAUGGUCAAGCGAAUAAGCGCACACGGUGGAUGCCUAGGCGGUCAGAGGCGAUGAAGGACGUGGUAGCCUGCGAAAAGUGUCGGGGAGCUGGCAACAAGCUUUGAUCCGGCAAUAUCCGAAUGGGGAAACCCACUGCUUCGGCAGUAUCCUGCAGUGAAUUCAUAGCUGCUGGAAGCGAACCCGGUGAACUGAAAUAUCUAAGUAACCGGAGGAAAAGAAAUCAACCGAGAUUCCCUAAGUAGUGACGAGCGAACGGGGAGCAGCCCUUAAGCUGGAAUGGCUUUAGAAAAACAAUCUGGAAAGAUUGGCCAUAGAAGGUGAUAGCCCUGUAUUUAAAAGGGCCACUCCAGUGAAGACGAGUAGGGCGGGGCACGUGAAACCCUGUCUGAAUAUGGGGGGACCAUCCUCCAAGGCUAAAUACUCCUGACCGACCGAUAUAACC
rnacentral:misc_RNA from 1 species